rnacentral:rRNA from 1 species
UAGAGUUUGAUCCUGGCUCAGAACGAACGCUGGCGGCAGGCUUAACACAUGCAAGUCGAACGGUCUCUUCGGAGGCAGUGGCAGACGGGUGAGUAACGCGUGGGAACAUACCUUUCGGUACGGAACAACAGUUGGAAACGACUGCUAAUACCGUAUACGCCCUGAGGGGGAAAGAUUUAUCGCCGAGAGAUUGGCCCGCGUUGGAUUAGCUAGUUGGUGGGGUAAUGGCCUACCAAGGCGACGAUCCAUAGCUGGUCUGAGAGGAUGAUCAGCCACACUGGGACUGAGACACGGCCCAGACUCCUACGGGAGGCAGCAGUGGGGAAUAUUGGACAAUGGGCGCAAGCCUGAUCCAGCCAUGCCGCGUGAGUGAUGAAGGCCCUAGGGUUGUAAAGCUCUUUCGCCGGUGAAGAUAAUGACGGUAACCGGUAAAGAAGCCCCGGCUAACUUCGUGCCAGCAGCCGCGGUAAU